rnacentral:sRNA from 1 species
UCUUUUGCAGGUCCAAUUUGUCCAGGAUUUUUCAGAUUUGUCCGGUGGGAUUUGGGAAGGAAAGCGAUGCCAUGGUUUUAUAAGAAGCAUCGUUGGGGAGGGAUAUUUUUAUUAUACCGCUACAAUAAAGGUCGAAUUUGAGGGUCACAAUUUUGGCCUUUUGCCGGGCCGGCAGCGCCACACCCAGAAUUCAGAAGGGCGAGGGGGCAUUCUGACAUGGAAACGGCAUCAAAACAUUUUUGGUUUUUAAUGUUUUGGAUGCCAAAGUCGUCGUUUUUAUUUCGCCGAGUCGGGAAGUAGGAUUUUGUCUGUUAACCGUUGCUGCCAGGAAAAAGUCAAA